rnacentral:rRNA from 1 species
GACGAACGCUGGCGGCGUGCUUAACACAUGCAAGUCGAACGGAAAGGCCCUGCUUGCAGGGUACUCGAGUGGCGAACGGGUGAGUAACACGUGGGUGAUCUGCCCUGCACUUCGGGAUAAGCCUGGGAAACUGGGUCUAAUACCGGAUAGGAGCCAUUUUUAGUGUGAUGGUUGGAAAGUUUUUUCGGUGUAGGAUGAGCUCGCGGCCUAUCAGCUUGUUGGUGGGGUAAUGGCCUACCAAGGCGGCGACGGGUAGCCGGCCUGAGAGGGUGGACGGCCACAUUGGGACUGAGAUACGGCCCAGACUCCUACGGGAGGCAGCAGUGGGAAAUAUUGCACAAUGGGCGCAAGCCUGAUGCAGCGACGCCGCGUGGGGGAUGACGGCCUUCGGGUUGUAAACUCCUUUCGCUAGGGACGAAGCUUUUUGUGACGGUACCUAGAUAAGAAGCACCGGCUAACUACGUGCCAGCAGCCGCAGUAA